rnacentral:rRNA from 1 species
GACGAACGCUGGCGGCGUGCUUAACACAUGCAAGUCGAACGAUGAAGAAGAGACACGCGCACUUCGGUUCCAAUUUCACUUCGGAUUAGUGGCAGACGGGUGAGUAACGCGUGAGCAACCUACCUCUUACAAAGGGAUAGCCUCGGGAAACCGUGAUUAAUACCAUAUGACACAUUCAUAAGGCAUCUUAAGAAUGUUAAAGCUACGGCGGUAAGAGAUGGGCUCGCGUCCCAUUAGCUAGUUGGUGAGGUAACGGCCCACCAAGGCGACGAUGGGUAACCGGCCUGAGAGGGUGAACGGUCACAUUGGAACUGAGACACGGUCCAAACUCCUACGGGAGGCAGCAGUGGGGAAUAUUGCACAAUGGAGGGAACUCUGAUGCAGCGACGCCGCGUGAGCGAUGAAGGAAUUCGUUUCGUAAAGCUCUGUUCUAUGGGAAGAAAAGGACUGUACCAUAGGAGAAAGCCCCGGCUAAAUACGUG